rnacentral:rRNA from 1 species
UGAGGAAUAUUGCACAAUGGGCGAAAGCCUGAUGCAGCGACGCCGCGUGGGUGAAGAAGGUUUUCGGAUCGUAAAACCCUUUUCUGUGUGACGAGAGAGGACGGUAGCACAGGAAUAAGUCUCGGCUAACUACGUGCCAGCAGCCGCGGUAAAACGUAGGAGACAAACGUUAUCCGGAGUUACUGGGCGUAAAGGGCGUGCAGGCGGCAGCCUAAGUCUGGCGUGAAAUAUCCCGGCUUAACCGAGAGAGGUCGUCGGAUACUGGGCAGCUAGAGGGCGGUAGAGGCGUGUGGAAUUCCGGGUGUAGUGGUGAAAUGCGUAGAGAUCCGGAGGAACACCAGUGGCGAAGGCGACACGCUGGGCCGCACCUGACGCUAAGACGCGACAGCAGUGGGGAGCGAA